ensembl:lncRNA
ACUGAACAGAGGAAGAGAAACAUCUGACUGAGAGACUCGACAAAGAUGGAAAAAGAUCCAGGAAGAUCAGUGAGAAACUAAAAACCAGUGAUGCACAGAGUCAGAUGGAAUCAGGAGGUCUAGAAGGAGUCAUAGUACCACUGAUCAGGAGGUCUAGAAGGAGUCAUAGUACCAGUAAUCAGGAGGUCUAGAAGGAGUCAUAGUACCACUGAUCAGGAGGUCUAGAAGGAGUCAUAGUACCACUGAUCAGGAGGUCUAGAAGGAGUCAUAGUUCCACUAAUCAGGAGGUCUAGAAGGAGUCAUAGUACCACUGAUCAGGAGGUCUAGAAGGAGUCAUAGUACCACUGAUCAGGAGGUCUAGAAGGAGUCAUAGUACCACUAAUCAGAGCUCCUAAAAUGACUCCACAGACAGUGAACUACUUUCUCCAUCCAGCUGUAAAAACAGACGGCAGCUGUUUCAGACUUGGUUCAGGGGUUCUCCAUGGAAACCAGAGUUAAUGUGAAGCUCAGAAGGAACCUUCAGAACAUCAACCUCUAUGGACGGAGGACCAGAACUAAGCCUGGCUGCUGAAGAACCCGAGAAGAAGCCUGAUGGAUGUUGGAGAACAUUCUUUGGUCAGAUGAAGAUCAACGAGUUGGGCUCAGAUGGAGUCCAGAUGUUUGGUGAGAACCUGAGCAGGACUACCAUAGUGGAUGCAGAGUCCUGACAAUGAAGCACGGAGUUCACUAACCCUCGUGUCGUCCUGUGAGUCAAACUGACUCAUUUUACAAUUUGAAAAUGUGAAAAAAAAA